CCUACGGGCGGCAGCAGUGAGGAAUAUUGGUCAAUGGACGCGAGCCUGAACCAGCCAAGUAGCGUGAAGGAUGACUGCCCUACGGGUUGUAAACUUCUUUUAUGAAGGGAUAAAGUGAGUCACGUGUGCCUUUUUGUAUGUACUUUAUGAAUAAGGAUCGGCUAAUUCCGUGCCAGCAGCCGCGGUAAUACGGAGGAUCCGAGCGUUAUCCGGAUUUAUUGGGUUUAAAGGGAGCGCAGAUGGGUUGUUAAGUCAGUUGUGAAAUUUUGCGGCUCAACCGUAGAAUUGCAACGGGAACUGGCAGUCUUGAGUACACUGGAGGUAGGCGGAAUUCGUGGUGUAGCGGUGAAAUGCUUAGAUAUCACGAAGAACUCCGAUUGCGAAGGCAGCUUACUAAACUGUCACUGACACUGAGGCUCGAAAGUGUGGGUAUCAAACAGGAUUAGAUACCCGGGUAGUC
rnacentral:rRNA from 1 species